rnacentral:rRNA from 1 species
AUGGCGGACGCCGCCCUCAGCGCGGCUCAAUGGGUGGUGGGUAAGGCGCUAGCCCCCGUUGCAGAUGGCGUGCUGGAGGCUUGGGCGGCCACCAGGAACUUUGGUCCCAGCAUCGAGGCCCUCAGGAUGGAACUGUUGCUCGUGCAGGCGACGCUCGAAAAUGCUGCCGGCAAGGAGAUCUGCGGUACGGCCAUGGAGGAGCUGCUGCAGAUGCUGCGGGACUCGGCACACAAUGCCGAGGACUUGUUGGACGAGCUGGACUACUUCCGCAUCCAUGAUGAGCUCCACGGCACGCACGAUGCUGCUGACGAGCAUGGCAGGAGUGGCAUCCAUGGCCUUGUCCUCAAUGCUUGUCACGUCGCCAAAGCUGUUGGCAAACAUCUGCCAUCUUUGCCCGCGUACUGGUUUGGCGCCAAUGCUGGUGAUCCCCGACAACAAGAUGCAACACAAAGUGCCAACUCUUUUGUUUGGCCACGUGGUAGGAAGAGGUUACGUGACGAUUCCUCCUCGGAGCCAAAUGCCAAUCAGGCUGAUGAGGAGGUCAGCAGACGCAAGAAGCACCAAAUCUUGAUGUUUAAUAGGGUUGAUUUCGCCCAAAGGAUGAAGGACAUUGUAGAGAAAAUGCACCCUGUGCGUAAGGAUGUUAAUGAGAUUCUGCUGGGUUGUGGCCCUAGAACUGUCCCAGACAUUGCGCAACAUCGUCCCACCACCACACCUCAGAGUGCAGAGCCAAAACUAUAUGGGAGGGACUGUGUCAUGAAUAGCAUCAUACAUGAUAUCAUUGAGGGUCAAUACUGUGACAAGGGUCUAACUGUGCUUCCUGUUAUUGGUCCGGGGGGAAUGGGGAAGACAACUCUGAUACAACACAUAUAUAACAACCAACAAGUGCAGAAUCAUUUUCUGGUCAGGAUUUGGAUAUGUGUGUCAUUCAGUUUCAACCUGGACAAGGUGCUAGAACAGAUUAAAAAGUAUACUCCUAAAGUGGAAGGUGAAAAGGAGUGUAUUAGACCAGAAGAAUUGAUUAAACACAGAUUGAAACACAAAAGGUUCUUACUUGUAUUGGAUGAUAUAUGGCAGUUUACUGAUGUGGAUGACUGGAAAAAACUAUUAUUGAUACUCGGCAAGUCACAAGAAAAUGGUUCCAUGAUUCUAGUCACAACUCGGCAUAAAAAAAUAGCAGAUCAAGUUAAGAAAACUGAAGAACCAAAAGAACUGGACGGUUUAGAACCUGGAGAGUUUAGGAAGUUAUUCCUAAUAUAUGUCUUUGAUGCUGAGCAAUACCCAGAGGAUAAACGUCAUUUGCUUCACAUUGGAGAUAAGAUAAUGGAAAAACUGAAGGGCUCCCCUCUUGCAGCAAAGACCGUUGGCAGAUUAUUGAGGACAAACCUUAGUUUGGCUCAUUGGAGAAUGGUCCUAAAAAGUAAAAAAUGGGCGAAGGAGACCGAUGACAAUGGAAUUAUGCCUGCCUUGGAGCUUAGCUAUGACUUUCUCCCUUUCCAUUUGCAAAGGUGUUUUUCCUAUUCUGCAUUAUUUCCUGAAGAUUACCAUUUCAGAAGCCAUGAGCUCAUCAGCCUAUGGACCGGACUAGAUAUUUUGACACCUUCUGAUCAAAACCCAACCUUUGAAGGCACGGGUCUGAGCAUUUUAAAUGACUUAGUCAUCCAUGGAUUUUUAAGAGAAUAUAAAACUAAUGGUGAUAUGCGGUAUGUUAUGCAUGACCUAUUGCAUGAGUUGGCAUUGAAGGUUGCAUCACAUGAUUGCCUUAAUUUUCGCCUCCCUGAUGUUGGAUCGGUACAAGUUAAGCCAUCCACCCGACACCUGUCGAUAAGUAUAGAGAACUUGGGUGAAUAUAAUGGUCAAAAAUUAAAGAGGGAAUUGGAAAAACUGAAGACAAGUUUGAAGAUUGAACAUUUGCAAACACUGAUGUUAUUUGGAGCAACGGAUGAAGGUUUUGCUAAGAUAUUUGGUGAUUUUCUUGGGGAAGCAAAUGCUCUCCGUGUUCUUUAUUUACCCCACCUGAAGUAUCCAGUGGAGUCUAUGGUACAUAACUUUUCAAGACUUGUCCACCUACGAUUCCUAUGUCUAGGGACAUUGAAGAGUAAGGUGCCCAUUAUUUUACCACUUAACAUCUCUAAAUUUUACCAUCUAAGGGUUCUAGAUCUUAAGUCAUGGUCUGGCAGUAGCAGGGGCGGAGCCAGCCCAGCGGGCCGCCCUGGGCCCUCUUCAUAUACUGUAGCAGAUGUGGAUAGUAAAUCGCUACGGUACAGGAAGAAAUUGGGCCUCACGCCCCGGGCCUGGGCCCUAGGGGCCAGGGGCCUGUAUCCGCCACAGGGUAGUAGUGAUUUUCCUGAAGACAUGAGCAACCUUGCAAAAUUGUGCCAUUAUUAUACUCCAAGAGAUGAUGAGCUUCAUUCUAACAUUUGUAAUGUGGGAAAACUUGAACUCUUGGAAAAGUUAAAGGUAUUUCGAAUCAAUAAAAAAAGUGAAGGAUUUGAACCAAAGCAACUAGAGCAUUUGACCAAGCUGUGUGAGCUUGGCAUCUACAACCUUGAGAAAAUACAUACGGAAGAUGAGGCAGCUCAAGUAAAACUCAAUGAGAAAAAGUGCUUGAGAAGGUUAACAUUGGACUGGGAUAGUGAGCAAUCUAGUGUUGAGCCUGGUGUGGAAGCAGUGGUUCUUGAGUGCCUUCGACCACAUGAAAAUCUUGAUGUGUUAUGCAUUAGAGGGCACAGAGGCCCCACUUGUCCAACAUGGCUGGGUGAUGAGCAUGCUGUUGAAACUCUGCAAUCUCUUUGUCUUUAUGCUGUUUCUUGGAAGGUUUUCCCUUCUUUACGGAACAUGGGGGAUCUUUGUGAACUUGAGAUACAAGGCUGUCCAGGAUUCUCAUCAGUGAUUUCCAUGUCCUGGAUUGAAAAUCUGCGCCGUGUCAUGGUAAAACAUGUAAAGUUACUAGAAAAGUUUGAGUACUCAAAAUCAUCAGAUGGAGUAGAAUUGAAAAUUAAGGGAAAGCAUGGUCUGCAUGGCUUAGAUCAAGUGUUAGUUUUCGAUAAAGAAACAAGUCUUGAGAAGCUGACACUUAAGAGGUGCCCACCUCUGGAGUUGAAGCACCUUCCGAUGCUAACCUCGUUGAAGACAUUGAUUGUAGAAAAUUCAGAAAGUCUGGUUGGACCACUAGGAGGUCAGGGUAAUGGGGAAUGGCAGCUGCCUGUUGAGCACAUCAAGAUCAGCAACUUGAAUGGUAAUAGUGGGAAGGAAUUGACAGAGCUCUUACCCCACCUCCCAAAGCUCUCCAAUUUGGAUAUACAGCAUUGUAAAAACAUAGAACAGCUGGUGGUGGGGGUGAAUGUGCAACAAACAACACCAGCAACAUCAGAGCUGGUCUUCCCAGCUCAUCUCUUUGACUCAUUACGGGAAUUGAAGUUCUAUGCCUGCCAAGAGCUGGUCCUGGUGGACCCACCAACUCUUCUUCCUCGAGGAGUAUGGCUCCAAGCCUUGCGAUCACUUCAGAGAUUAACAAUACAGGAGUGCCCAAAGUUUCUAUCCGCCUUCUCGUUUUCUGGUCACCUUUUUCCUUCCUCCCUGGAGUUCCUGAAGCUUACGGGUGUUAAAGGCAUGGGGACAGUAGAGCCCCUCUCAAACCUCUCCUCCCUUACCAGAUUAGAAUUGUAUCGGUGCGGAGAGGAUCUAAAAUGUCAAGGCUUGCAGUCUCUCCUUACCACCAGUGGCCAACUCAACAAAUUAAGAGUCAUAGGUAGCCCUGGUUUCUUUGCUAAUUGGGUUCCCAAUCCCGAGCGGGAGUUGGAGGAUGUUCAAGGAGGAGAAGAGCAGCCUGUUUCAUCGACACUGCAGGAGCUCUACACGUAUGUUGACGAGGGACUCCUUUCUGCACCCGUCUGCAGCGUCCUCUCUUCCUCCCUCACCAUGCUGAAACUUCAAGGGGGUGGGUGUGAAGGGAUGGAGCGCUUCAGCAAGGAGCAGGAGGACGCCUUUCAGCUCCUCUCCUCCCUCCAGCAACUUCACUUUUCGUGUUUCCAGAAGCUUCAACAACUUCCUGCAGGACUGCGCAACCUUACCAGCCUCAAGGAAUUAAUGAUCUACGACUGUCCAGCUAUCUCGUCAUUGCCCAAGGAUGGCCUCCCCAAAUCACUGCAAAAGUUAUGGGUCAGCAACUGCGGCAACCAGGAGCUAAUACAGCAGUGCAGGGGUUUGAAGGACAUCAUGCAUGACAUUCUUAUAAACACAAUUGCCACAUGCAUGACAUGA